rnacentral:rRNA from 1 species
GGCAGUGGGGGGAGCUAUACAUGCAGUCGACGCUUCUUUUUCCACCGGAGCUUGCUCCACCGGAAAAAGAGGAGUGGCGAACGGGUGAGUAACACGUGGGUAACCUGCCCAUCAGAAGGGGAUAACACUUGGAAACAGGUGCUAAUACCGUAUAACAAUCGAAACCGCAUGGUUUUGAUUUGAAAGGCGCUUUCGGGUGUCGCUGAUGGAUGGACCCGCGGUGCAUUAGCUAGUUGGUGAGGUAACGGCUCACCAAGGCGACGAUGCAUAGCCGACCUGAGAGGGUGAUCGGCCACAUUGGGACUGAGACACGGCCCAAACUCCUACGGGAGGCAGCAGUAGGGAAUCUUCGGCAAUGGACGAAAGUCUGACCGAGCAACGCCGCGUGAGUGAAGAAGGGUUUUCGGAUCGUAAAACUCUGUUGUUAGAAGAAGAACAAGGAUGAGAGUAACUGUUCAUCCCUUGACGGUAUCUAACCAGAAAGCCACGGCUAACUACGUGCCCAGCAGCCGCGGUAAUACGUAGGUGGCAAGCGUUGUCCGGGAUUUAUUGGGCGUAAAGCGAGCGCAGGCGGUUUCUUAAGUCUGAUGUGAAAGCCCCCGGCUCAACCGGGGAGGGUCAUUGGAAACUGGGAGACUUGAGUGCAGAAGAGGAGAGUGGAAUUCCAUGUGUAGCGGUGAAAUGCGUAGAUAUAUGGAGGAACACCAGUGGCGAAGGCGGCUCUCUGGUCUGUAACUGACGCUGAGGCUCGAAAGCGUGGGGAGCAAACAGGAUUAGAUACCCUGGUAGUCCACGCCGUAAACGAUGAGUGCUAAGUGUUGGAGGGUUUCCGCCCUUCAGUGCUGCAGCUAACGCAUUAAGCACUCCGCCUGGGGAGUACGACCGCAAGGUUGAAACUCAAAGGAAUUGACGGGGGCCCGCACAAGCGGUGGAGCAUGUGGUUUAAUUCGAAGCAACGCGAAGAACCUUACCAGGUCUUGACAUCCUUUGACCACUCUAGAGAUAGAGCUUCCCCCUUCGGGGGCAAAGUGACAGGUGGUGCAUGGUUGUCGUCAGCUCGUGUCGUGAGAUGUUGGGUUAAGUCCCGCAACGAGCGCAACCCUUAUUGUUAGUUGCCAUCAUUUAGUUGGGCACUCUAGCAAGACUGCCGGUGACAAACCGGAGGAAGGUGGGGAUGACGUCAAAUCAUCAUGCCCCUUAUGACCUGGGCUACACACGUGCUACAAUGGGAAGUACAACGAGUCGCAAAGUCGCGAGGCUAAGCUAAUCUCUUAAAGCUUCUCUCAGUUCGGAUUGUAGGCUGCAACUCGCCUACAUGAAGCCGGAAUCGCUAGUAAUCGCGGAUCAGCACGCCGCGGUGAAUACGUUCCCGGGCCUUGUACACACCGCCCGUCACACCACGAGAGUUUGUAACACCCGAAGUCGGUGAGGUAACCUUUUGAGCCAGCCGCGUAAGGUGCAUUAAGU